rnacentral:rRNA from 1 species
GACGAACGCUGGCGGCGUGCUUAACACAUGCAAGUCGAACGAAGUGGCGAACGGGUGAGUAACGCGUAAUCAACCUGCCCCUCAGAGGGGGCCAACAGUUGGAAACGACUGCUAAUACCGCAUAUUGAUGGAGGGGAUUGCGUCUGAUUAGCUAGUUGGAGGGGUAACGGCCCACUAAGGCGAUGAUCAGUAGCCGGACUGGGAGGAUGAACAGCCACAGUGGGACUGGGACAAGGCGCGGACUCAUACGGGAGGCAGCGAUGGGGAAUCUGCCGCAAUGGAAGAAAGUCUGACGGGGCAACGCCACGUGAGUGAAGAGGGCCUUCGGGAUGUAAAGCUCUGUGGAUCGGAACGCGGUACCGAAAUAGAAAGCCACGGCUAACUACGUGCCAGCAGCCGCGGUAAUUC